CUUCUGCAAGUACAUCUGCAGCAAAAUGAAGACUAGGGAAAAUGUGGGCCCACUCCUGAAUGGGGCAGGGGCCCUGAUGACAAAGGACAGAGAAAAGGCAGAAGUACUGAAUGCCUUCUUUGUCUUGGUC